rnacentral:snRNA from 1 species
AUACUUACCUGGCAGGGGAGAUACCAUGAUCACGAAGGUAGUUUUCCUAGGGCGAGGCUUAUCCAUUGCACACAGGGUGUGCUGACCCCUGCAAUUUCCCCAAUUUGAUUGCAUAAUUUGUGGUAGCGGGGGACUGCGUUUGUGUUUUCCCCUG